rnacentral:rRNA from 1 species
UACAGAGGUCUCAAGUGUUGUUCGGAUUCAUUGGGCGUAAAGGGUGCGUAGGCGGCGCGGUAAGUCGGGUGUGAAAUCCUGAGGCUUAACCUCGGAACUGCAUUCGAUACUGCGGUGCUUGAGGACUGGAGAGGAGACUGGAAUUCAUGGUGUAGCAGUGAAAUGCGUAGAGAUCAUGAGGAAGACCAGUGGCGAAGGCGGGUCUCUGGACAGUUCCUGACACUGAGGCACGAAGGCCAGGGGAGCAAACGGG